ensembl:lncRNA TTN-AS1 TTN antisense RNA 1
AGGAGCGCUGUUUCUGGAGGAGUUAGGGGAAGGAGGCUGCCUGGUAAGCCAGGAAAGGGGCUUCUGGCCGUUCUGUUGGAGCGCCUCUGACUGACUUCCCCCAUGUGUCCGUGUGGCCACACCGUGCUACUUUCAGAGGCAGUGGGCUUUUCGCUAAGGGAUAAAAAGAAGUAAAACCUUGCCUUUAGCGCAGCUCUCCUUCACUGGGCAGAUUGCUCUCCCUCCCCACUCUCCCAGGCCCAAAUUGGAUCUCAGCGCCUGGGAGCUCCAACUUUAGCAAGUGCGAAAUCCUGUCUUCGGUUUUGGAAUUUUCAUCCGCACAGACUAUAUCAGCCACGGAUAGGAUAUGUGAGAAUACCAGCAUGUCAAGGCUGGGAAUCAUCCUUAGGCAUCACCUAGCCAGUCCUGCCUCUCAUUUUAAGUGGGUAACCAGGAUGGAACUGCGGUGUUGCUUGCAGGAGAAGCUUACUACUGGUUUCUACUUCUCCAACCUCAUUGGUGGCUAUGCAGGCACUGUCUCCAGACUGUCUAUAUUCAACCCAGUAUCCAAGAAUUUCUUUACCACCAUCACAUUCAGGUUUCUCCCACUGUAGAGUGACACUAUCUUUGGAUAUUGAAAGAAUCUCAAGUUCUCCUGGUUGGCUUGGUUUAUCUGAAAUAUUUUAAAAUAAUGAAAAGGGAGUCAGCUUUACUGGUGAAAUAAAAGGACCAAACAUGGCUUGCUUCUUUAAUUUAACCCCUUCUUCUGAAUUCCUUACCAAAUGGAUCUUUGCAAACAACUGGUUCAGAAGCAGGGCUGGUCUCACUCAGGCCAACAUCAUUCUGUGCGAUGAUGCGGAACUGAUACUCAGCAUCGGGAACAAGCCCUGUGACAGUGUACAUUGUGGUGGUGAUCUGAGUCUUGUUGUGUCUGACCCACUUGUCAGUGGAUGUCUCUUUGCGUUCGAUGUAGUAGCCUGUGACUCUAGAACCACCAUCAUCUUUGGGCCGGGACCAGGACAAGCUAACAGAACUCUUGGUUACAUCGAGUACUUCUGGAGGAUUGCUUGGAGGUUCUGGAGGAUCU